CUGGUAGUGAGGAAGGUGCAGGAAGGAUCUGACUGGGAGGGCUCCCCUCACCAACAGCCAAACCAGGUCUUGGUGCUUGUAGGUGAGUUCUGCCGAUGAGGCAUUUCGCCAGACAAGCUUAUGCUGGAGUAACUCAGCGGGUCAGGC